rnacentral:rRNA from 1 species
CCUAUGGGGGGCAGCAGGCGCGAAAACUUUACAAUGCGGGCAACCGUGAUAAGGGAACCUCGAGUGCCUGUACAUGCAGGCUGUUCGGGUGUCUAAAACACACCUGAAGAAAGGGCCGGGCAAGACCGGUGCCAGCCGCCGCGGUAAUACCGGCGGCUCGAGUGGUGGCCACUUUUAUUGGGCUUAAAGCGUUCGUAGCUGGGUUGUUAAGUCUCUUGGGAAAUCUGACGGCUCAACCGUCAGGCGUCUAAGGGAUACUGGCAAUCUUGGAACCGGGAGAGGUGAGGGGUACUUCGGGGGUAGGAGUGAAAUCCUGUAAUCCUCGAGGGACCACCUGUGGCGAAGGCGCCUCACCAGAACGGCUUCGACAGUGAGGGACGAAAGCUGGGGGAGCAAACCGGAUUAGAUACCCCCGUAGUCC